UGCAUGGGAGCGCUGCGGUGGAGAGAGCGUUGGAGCUGGCCCCAAAGGCACGGGUCCUUUAAGGCUGCCCCCUCCAGAGAGCUGGCUCUGCACGGGAAGCUGCAGUGAGUUCGUGAAUGCAAUGGCCGAGCCGUGUCCAGAAGACAACCUCUCAGUGUCACCCCGCCCUCCAGCCCUUCAUUCUUCCUGCCUCUCUGCUACAAUGUUCCCUGAGCCUUGGGCAGUAGGGCUGAGCACUCAGGAGCCACUUAUUCUCAGCACUUUGACCACUCAGGAGUCUCAGCAUUAACUGCUGACCACCGGGAGAGAAGAUUCUCCAGCCAUGGUUGAGGGCAGCACUAAUUUAUGGAAUGGAUUCUGGCCCAGCUGCGUUAGGUUGAAAGCUGAAGUUCUCAGAUCCAGGUCCCAUGUAGUGGAGAUGCAGCUGUCGCCAUGGUCUCUGGGAGCCUGAACAGAGGAGGCGACACGUGACAGAUCUUACGGAGACUGGAACAGCUGCUCUCCAACAUCCUGUGCUGAUCUGUAAUCUACAAAGCAGGACUUCAGGCUGGAUUGACCUCUGUCGAGGAAGAGUAACUACCCACAGACCAGCAUGAUCCUACCAGAGUGAGACCUGGAUCAGAUGGGCCAUCCCAGGACUGGCCAGCCCUGGUGAACCUGCCACAAGACACUGGAGGUCCCCAUAUCCCCCAAGCUGCCAGGCUGGGACCACCAGCAAUCAAGCCCCUGGCCACAUUUAGUUUUCUACAACAUGAAACUUGGGACCAUUAGGAACCAGUCCAGUGGGAUGCCUCAGCUGGGAAGUCUGGCAGCCUCCAGGGCCCCAUGGCUGGGAAACUUGUGACUUUACAACCAGAGUCAAAUCCCUGUGACUUCAACAAGAACUUUCUGCAGAGUAUCCUUCCUCAUCACAGGGCAUGCCCAAGUUAUUGCCACCUGUGAGUAACGCCUUGGACACAAGAAGGCUGGUGUCCAUGGAGGUGGGGUAGACUUCCACACUGGUAAGACAGUCUUUCUAGUUGAUGUCUUUGAAGAAGGGCUAUGGAACAUGGAGGAAGCCUGUUUCCAGGCCAGGCAGAACAUCCAUGGAGACAGAAAAUGACACAGGCACCAGAACAUAUUGAAGAGGUUUGUUGAGUUGGACUGAGGAUUCCUGCAGCCACGGUCAGAGUGAGGGGGACUCCCCCCCCCAACAAGGUCAGGGUGAGGAGGACUCCCCGCCCCCAACAAGGUCAGGGUGAACCUACCAGGUCGUGCCAACAAGACCAGCGCAAACACACUUCUCUGUGAGUGAUGGGUGUGGUGAUUAGGAAUACAAAAUCGAGGACACACUCCCUUGGCUGGAACCCUGCCUCUCUUCAUUUUUCAUCCGUGUCACCUUGGACAAGAGACACAGCCUUUCUAUGUCUAGAACCUUCAUUUGAAAAAUGAACUCACGCAUGCAGAAGCCAGAACACAUGGUACCGCACAGGGCCUGCUGCUCUGACGACUUGGCUGCAUUCCAGAUUUUUUUCCUGCUCUUUGAACAACUGCCCGGAACACAUCUGGAAUCAGACUCCAUAGGCACAUGUUAAGAACUCAGCCCGUGAAGAGCGCAGCUCUCCCCUCGCCUCAGCCAUGAGAUAAAGUCAGGGUGACUACAGUGUGGGCAGCUCAGGGCUGGCAACAGAAGACUUUAAAACCACAACGCAGAGCCAAGAUACAGCUUGUAACUCGGCGAGUGAACAAGGAGCCAAGUGGUGUUUGGGGUGGUGCCAGGAAAGUGUCAGGAACCAGGGUAUGAUAAAGGACAGACACUCAGGCAGGCAGGGGUGCAAUGGGAAUGUGAGAUCACCUGCUGUCCUUGGAAAACCCAGGAGAAUCCACUAGGCUCUCAGUCCAAUCUACACACAUUUGGGGACCUAUAUCAGCCAAUUAUAACACCCAUGCAAAAAGCAUGAAAAGAAACCCCAGAAGUUUCUGGAGAAGAAAGGGAUGUAGGCAGAGUCCAUUGACCAAACUUGGCCUUGAUGUUGGGAUAGAAAGAAAUCAGUGGACAGUGCACCAAUUCACAAAUGAAUGAACCCUACGAUUAAGAAUAUGUAGUUGUCAUUGUUUGGAAUCAUCAGGGAGACACACUCCUGGUGUGACUCUGUGUAUGUUUUACUGAGGAGGAAAAAUCUACUCCAAAUGCAGGCAAGUACCAUCCAUUGUCAGAGGACUCCCAGUAAAGUCAGAGUCAAGAAGAUUCCUAGAGGGUCAGAGUGAGCAGGGAGCUCAGCAAGAUUGUGCUGAUGAGACCAACCCAUGUACCUGCACAUGGCCCCUUUAUGAAAUGGUGGGUGUGGUGAUUAAGAAUUCAAAACUGGCUGAGUGGUAGUGGCACACGCCUUUAAACCCAGCACUUGGGAUGCAAAGGUGGGUGGAUCUCUAUGAGUUCUAGGAGC